AUGCAUAUUCAUGCACACCGCACAUGUGUGUGUUUUUGGGGUCAGUCGGCGGAAGAUAGCGGUCUGGAUGAUGCUGGCUGGCUGAGAGAGAGCUGCUCUCCCCGCGGCGGAGGAUCACACACUCAAGCCGAAUGCAACGCAGUCUCAUCUGGAUUCAUAUCCACGGCUCUUUCCGCUCGGGCCGUGACGAUGAAGGAAGCUCUCUCCGCUAAAGGCAGACACAUGCAACGCAGUCUCAGCACGCCCAACAUCCAGCAUAGCUCUUGUUGUACACCGGACGGGACUGGAUGUGAGGAUGAGGACGUAAAGACUCACUGUGGCAGUCACAUGGAUGUCACAGAAGCCAAUGUACAUGAAGCUUCACUCAACAGUCCUCUCGCAAAAGACACGCCUGUCAAAAACAAAGAGAAUCAGGGUAAAUUCAUGUAUGAUGCUCAACUUAUCUUUCUGCUAGGAUGUAGCAAGCAUUCUAAAAAAAAGAACAUUACUGUAGUUAAAACAAUAUUAAAGAAUAUAAAUAAAAAAUUUAAUAAAUAAUAG
ensembl:lncRNA